rnacentral:rRNA from 1 species
GAUGAACGCUGGCGGCGUGCCUAAUACAUGCAAGUCGAGCGAACAGACGAGAGGCUUGCCCCUCUCUGAUGAGAGGCGCGCGGGUGAGUGACACGUGUGUAACCUCCCCCUAACACUGGGAUAAAACUGGGAAACAGGGGCUAAUACAGGGUAUUAUAUUUAACUGCAUGGUUCGCUAUAGAAAGAGACUUUUGUGCUGUCAUUUAGAUAUGGACCCGCGGCGUAUUAGCUAGUUGGUGAGGUAACGUCUUACCAAGGCAACGAUGCGUAGCCGACCUGAGAGGGUGAUCGGCCACACUGGAACUGAGACACGGCCCAGACUCCUACGGGAGGCAGCAGUAGGGAAUCUUCCGCAAUGGACGAAAGUCUGACGGAGCAAUGCCGCGUGAGUGAUGAAGGUGUUCGGAUCGUAAAACUCUGUUAUAAGGGAAGAACAAGUGUGUUAGUAACUGAACAUACCUUGACGGUACCUGACCAGAAAGCCACGGCUAACUACGUG